ensembl:lncRNA
AUUGGGUUUCACUUAGUGUGUGAGUCUGACGUCGCGACAUCCUCAUCUUUCCAGAUUUUUCCUCAGCGUUUAAGCAUUUUCUUUCAUUAACGUUACAUGAUUUGGAUGGAUUUUGUGUGUACAAAGAUUUUAAUAUGUUGGAUAUAGAAUAGUCCACCUGAAUUGGUUACAUUUGGUUCUAUUAGCUAAUUUAAGUGACUAAGUAUUUUACAUUAACUGACUGAACCGAGCCAGCUUUCGUCAUGCUAAUGUUAGCGAGAAUUAAUGAACAUUUAUUGAUUAAUUUACCUCGUUUCGUGAAACAAUUGUUUGAAUCCGACGAUGUGUUAAACUUCUAAGAGCAUAAAUAGCCUUGAGAUACCUUUACUGGCAAGUAUGUCAACGUUAGCUUACAUUUCUGUAAUGUUGGUGUCCAGUUAGCAUGUCUAAUGUUAGCAUACCGAAGAUUUUGGCGGGCGGGACUGCCAUGGUUAAAUGUUCUAACUCAAAGUGGUGUAACGUUAGCUGCUUAUUAGCAAUUUUGCGGAUGCUUACAUUACCUACAAGGUUUGCCCGGUCUCACUUUCUGGAUUACACCACAACCCCAAGGUAAUGUGGUUUAUGUUAACGUUACGUAAAAUUGGGUCUUAGCUGCCUCAGAAAGCCCGCAUUUACUGGCGCCACCUGCACGUUUUCCUUUGUAAAUACCUGCCCUCUCGUACAGCGCAGAGGCACAUUAGCGCAACUACACUGAGCUGGGUGAGGCUACAUUAGCUUGUUACCAAGCUAAUUAUACGACUUGCACCCAGGUCUCUGUUAAGACUAACGUUACAUCAGCCGGUGUGUGCGUGUUUGAUGCGGUAGUUCAUACAUUUGUCAGCAGUGCGGGGUCCGAUUCUUGGACUAAAUCAGAUUGCUAUGGCUGGUUCGACACCUGCAAGACUCAAGGUGAUUUUGGGAGAGAGCAACAUAGAGAAACUGACGCUUCCAAAUGGCCUACCAGAAUCCCUAGAUGAUCUUCAAAGCAAGAUCAAGACUACCUUUGGGUUAAAGGGCAACCUACGACUCCAAUAGAUGGACCAAGACUUUGGCAAUGACUUCUUCAAAUCUCAAUUCUACAACUGACUUUCAGGAUUUGGGAACAAUUAAUGUGAUCCAGGAUACAAAUCCACCUUUGAUCAGUGCCACUGAGACCACAUCCUGUAGUUCUCCUUCAAUUGAGUCUGACGGUGUUUCCCAUUCAUCAAAUGACACAAUAAUGCUCUCAUCCCCGAGUCUGUGUCAUCUCAAACAAGUGGCCACAGGAGUUUCCAAUUCCAAAAUUUUCAUAUACCAAUACAAGGCCUACCCAGAAGAUGCACAUUUCUGCACCCUUGUUUAAAAGAACCUGGCUCAUUCAAUGGCUACUAUGGUUCGAAACAGCGACUGAAGUAUAAGAUGGGAAACUACAGGACUCAGCUCAAAUUGCAGGGAUGUCCGGAGCUGUCGGUUAACUCCCUGAAAUCAAAGGCUCCUACAGAUGGUUUCCCUGCUAAAAAAGUAAAGAAGCCAAAAAGUGCUGAAGCCAACUUCUUCCCAUCAUUGCCUACUGGUGAGAUUCUGGAAAGCCAGGAAAAAGAGAGACUCGAACUUCUCACAGAGAUCGUGAUAAGAAGAAAUGAAAGUGUCGUCGCAGAGAAAAUGGCUUACACGUUUGCCUACAGAAUACACUAUUUUACGUUUGGGUUAAGAAAAUAUUUGAGUUGGAAAAACUGUAAACUUUAGGCUGACUUGUUUUAAUUUUGAGUUAAAGUGAUGCAAAAUAUUGAUUUGAAACACAUCAAAUUAUUACAUACAUCUGACUAAAAUCAAUUGUGUUAUUAAAACUUGUUAACUUCAUUUGGAAAAACUUAUGAAGAGAGAGAUGCAGACACACAGGCAGAGAAUUUAAUGACAGUUUUACAAAUUAGACAUGGUCACUAGUUUACUAGUUUUGUUUAAUAUUGAGUUUUAAGUUGAGUUACAUGACAGUCUGAUGAGGGAUGUUGUGGUACACUAUUAGUGUAAUGCUGCUUAUGCUAAAACAGUACAAAAAUGUGUGUGUGUGUUGUCAGCUUUUGAUUAUUAUGCACAACAUCGUUUAUCUCAUUUACAAAAUUUGCAGCACCAUCCGCAGGCUUCUGUGUAAUUCCACAGGCUUCUUGUAAUUUGACUUUGGGCUAUACAAAAUAAAAUGAAUUGGAUUGAAUUGAAUGCUAAGAAAAGAGAGACCCCAAAAGCAGAAGGACAAACUAAAUAUCCUGUGUUUUUUUAUUUGUUUAUUUUAUUAUUAAUAUUUUUACGUAAUUUUGGCGAUGGGUGCCCUUUUGUUUUUGUUUGAGCAGCUGCCUCCCAAAAUGUCUGUGCACGUGCCCGGUGUCCUCUAGAGGGCAACCAAGUAUCACACAAGUCCAACAAGUCGAGGGAAACACGGUCCGAAGUGUGGUGCUGUCGAUCAGGAGUUUCAUGUUUGGUGUUCAGGGAGUCGGAGAUUUCUGGUGUUUGGCUGGUCGGUGCCAUUUUGCCUGCAUCUUCUGUUUCCAUGGUGAGAGUCUGGAAGACAUGAAGCAACAGCUCCGUUACUUUCCCUUAAUACCCUCGUAUUUCAACAAAUACAUCAGAUUCGUCCUCUUGAUAAAAUGUCUGCAGAUGGAAUAUUAUAUUAUUGAGCCCUUUUGCUAAUGUUCCAGUUUAACAAACAUCCGUAUUCAUUGAUUUCAACACUGAUCAUCAUCUGGUUUUUAGGGGCUGCAGAUCUUCCAAAGCAGCAUGUACGUGAUUGGAUAUUUAUUCAUAUUAAGUGUUAACAUCAUAGAGACUUCUUGAUCACUGACCCCUGAUGCAGUAGUAGUUUAAAAAAAUCCAGGGCAUUGCUUCAUGGUCUUCAGGGUAUAAGGUGGCUAAGAUUGAGGCAAUGGCUAAGAUGCAUUUCCUUAUUUCAGAGGCUAUUGUGUUAUAUCUUUUUUUGUGUUUUUCUUUUAUUAAGUAAAAAAAUGAAGUAUUACUGUGGACGGGUGUUGUAAAUUGCGUUUUCUUGUGCAUAAUUGUAUGUUAUAAUUAUAAUGCUGCUGUGAUGUCCAUAUCAAAACAAAAUAAAUAUAUACAUUUC